rnacentral:rRNA from 1 species
AGGGCGUACGGUGAAUGCCUUGGUGCCAACAGGCGAAGAAGGACGCGGCAAGCUGCGAAAAGCCUCGGGAAGCUGCAAGCAAGCGAUGAUCCGGGGAUAUCCGAAUGGGGUAACCUGAUCGAGGCAAUACUCGAUCGUUCAUACCUGAAUACAUAGGGUAUGAAACGCGAAACCCGCUGAAGUGAAACAUCUCAGUAAGCGGAGGAAAAGAAAGAGAAAUCGAUUCCGUAAGUAGUGGCGAGCGAAAGCGGAUGGAGCCCAAACCGAAGGUAUUCCUUCGGGGUUGUAGGACCACGUCAUAUUCGACCAUACUGGAUAGUAGAACAGCCUGGAAAGGCUGGCCGGAGAAGGUGAAAGCCCUGUAGACGAAAUCCAGAGUGGGAAUUAGUGGUAUCCUGAGUAAUACAUCACACGUGGAACGAUGUAUGAACCCGCGCGGACCACCGCGCAAGGCUAAAUACUAGUUGGCGACCGAUAGUGAACAAGUACCGCGAGGGAAAGGUGAAAAGAACCGCUGUGAGCGGAGUGAAAUAGAACCUGAAACCGUAUGUCUACAAAGUGUCAGAGCAGAGCAAUCUGCGAUGGCGUGCCUUUUGUUUAAUGAGUCUGCGAGUCAGUGUUUGUGGCAAGACUAAGGGCUUCCGGCCCGGAGUCGCAGCGAAAGCAAGUCCGAACAGGGCGCAAUAAGUCGCAGGUACUGGACCCGAAGCGGAGGUGACCUACCCUUGGCCAGGUUGAAGCAUGGGUAAAACCAUGUGGAGGACCGAACAGGUGAACGUUGAAAAGUUCUCUGAUGAGCUGAGGGUAGGAGUGAAAGGCUAAUCAAACCCCGUGAUAGCUGGUUCUCUUCGAAAUGCAUUUAGGUGCAGCGUCACGUGCUGAUGCGCGGGGGUAGAGCACUGACAAGGCUAGGGGGCACACCCGCUUACCAAACCUUAUCAAACUCCGAAUACCGUGCAAUGGAACGUGGCAGUGAGACAGUGGGGGAUAAGCUUCAUUGUCGAGAGGGAAACAACCCAGACCAGCAGCUAAGGUGCCUAAAUAACGCUCAGUGGAAAGGAUGUGGGAUUACACAGACAGUGAGGAUGUUGGCUUAGAAGCAGCCACCAUUUAAAAAAUGCGUAAUAGCUUACUCAUCGAGUGAUCCUGCGCCGAAAAUGAUUGGCGAUCAAGCGUUAUACCGAAGCUCUGGACUUUGCCGCAAGGCAGAGUGGUAGAAGAGCGUUGCAUGCGCGUCGAAGGGCGAUGGCGACUGACCCUGGAGCACAUGCAAGUGAGUAUGCAGACAUGAGUAACGUUAAGCCGGGUGAAAUCCCCGGCCGCCGUAAACCCGAGGUUUCCAGGGCAACGUGUUUCGUCCCUGGGUUAGCCGGGACCUAAGCCGAGGCCGAGAGGCGUAGGCGAUGGACAUCAGGUUAAUAAUCCUGAGCUCGCAACCCUUAAACUGGGGGGACGCAUGAGAAAAGAUGACUAGGUUAUUGAAUUCCGAGUUGAGUCCACGGACUCAGCGCAUCAUUGGAUCGAGUGCCAAGAAAAGCCCCAGCGUAUGCUAAGCGACCCGUACCGCAAACCGACACAGGUGGGUGGGUAGAAUAUACCAAGGCGUAAGAGUGAAACCUGGUUAAGGAACUCGGCAAAUUAGCCCCGUAACUUCGGAAGAAGGGGUGCCUGCAGCGAUGCAGGCCGCAGAGAAAUGGCCCAACCGACUGUUUAUCAAAAACACAGCACUCUGCAAAGACGCAAGUCGAAGUAUAGGGUGUGACACGUGACCAAUGCCGAAAGAUUAAGGCAAGGGGUUAGCCGCAAGGCGAAGCUCUAAACCCAAGUCCCGGUGAAUGUCGGCCGUAACUAUAACGGUCCUAAGGUAGCGAAAUUCCUUGUCGGGUAAGUUCCGACCUGCACGAAUCGUGAAACGAGUUGGGCACUGUCUCAACCAGGCGCUCAGUGAAAUUGUAGUGGCGGUGAAGAUGCCGCCUACCCGCAGAAGGACGGAAAGACCCUAUAGACCUUAACUGUAAGCUGUCAUUGUUUCUUCGGUUUUAAUGCUCAGAGUAAGUGGGAGACGCUGAAGACGCCCUUUAGGGGGCGUCCGAGUCAUCAAUGAGACACCACCCUUUGAAACUGGAGGAUCUAACCCUGAGCCGUGAAUCCGGCCAGAGGACCGUGUCAGCCGGUCAGUUUUACUGGGGCGGUAUCCUCCCAAAGAGUAACGGAGGAGCGCGAAGGUGGGCUCAGCCCGGUUGG